ensembl:lncRNA
UGAUUUAAGCACAUGCUCUGGGGAUUUUCUCUACUUUGUGAACUGAAGUGAUUGACAAACCAGGUGGGACUGCAGUGGAAAUUUAUGAAAUACCAGUAUUCCUUCAAAUAUUUGCUUUGCUGAUAAUGUUCCCUCAGCUUGUGUAAACGAUGGGUCAUUUCCUUUCCUCCCAUAUUGUCCAGGUUGUGCACUUGUUGCGUCCUGAGAAAAUGGCUAAAAACAAGUACGCUGACAUCUAGUGAGCACAUAAAGCAUUACCUUCUUUUCAUUUACAUAGCAGAAAGUUGUUUUUCUUCAGAUCAGGACUCUGAAAUUUGCGGGAUACACAAAAAAGACCUUGUGUUGAGUUCUACUGAUUUAUUAGCACACACGAAUACACUGAACAGUACAAAAUAAUGCAUUUUCAGAGGUGCUGAGUUGUGUAUUUAGAAUGCUUCAGGUAAACCUUAACGAUCCAUGACACCACAGCUCAGUUUUACUACUUAUAAAUUAAAAAAUAAAAAUAAUAAUAACACAGAAGCACUCUGGUGGCAUGCAAAUAAUCUCCUCUGGCCUUUUGUAACAUCAAAAGGACCUAGCUAAAUAAAUAAAGGAUAUGAUGAUGGGCUUAAACAUACACAGUUCUAAUUACAAACUCAGAUAAUCAGCAGUAUUUGAGACAUUUUAUGCCAUUAGUCCACAAACACUAACAAGAAAGCUAAACGAGUAAAGCUUCAGCAAUAAUAAAGCAUAACAACAACAUAUUAUUUAAAAUCACCCUACGGAGAUUUGAAUCUUUGCCAUGCAGUUAACAGACAUAAAAAAGCACACUUCUUGAACUGCUAUAUCUAUAUCUGUAUUUCAGAAGCCUCUCACCUUUACGUAUAAGCUUAUCUAAAAAAAGACAGAAGAUCUUUGAGGGAUUGCAGCAUAACUGCACCUCCUCUGUGACCUGUUCACGCUAAACUGCUUUAGCCAGGUGAUUAUGACACAGUCAUCUUCACAAUUACAGUUUAACUGAUCAGUUUUAUUCCCUGUAGGCAAUACAUUCAUAUGCUGUCAAAGUGUUUUUUCCAUUGAAAUUUACUGUGCACAGAAGAUACCCGCCCCCACUCCCAGAAAAGGAGUCUACCUAUGUUAAGAGACCGUAGUGGUCAUUCAUCUACAUUCACUUUGAUUUACAGUGGGGUGCAAAUGGGAGAGAUCCGGGUGGAUUCACAUGGCUGUCCAGGUGGUACCCAGGGUGGCUGUCCUGGUUCCUAUGCCUGACACCAACACAGCAGUGCUGUGUGUCAAUCCAGCCAGACGUCCCCCAGUCCAGCUCACAUCACAGGCUGGUAGCACACCACGUCAUUGGCUACUAAUCUCAUUCAGCAUGCAAUAUGUACACGAUUAUAUACAAAAUAUGUACACACAACAAAAAAGUGCAAAACAGCAUUGCUCGCAUCUCAAAGGCUUCACAUUUCUUAUGUUUCUGUUAAAGCAUUUUUCUUUGUGCUCUUCUGAGCAGCCGACUGUGAGCAGGCAGAUUUUCUUCACUUCUCUGGCAUUUUGAUAGAGCGGAAAAAGAUAUCAGAAACCCACGCUGUCAACUCUCGACAAGAAUUGAGAGUGAAAGCAGACUUCAGUUACCCUGAUUUAAAUAUGCUUCUAAUUUGAUCUCUCUGUUACACAAGAAAUCCAAGAAGCACAAACAGGCCAAGACAUCACAACGCUGGCUUUCCUCCUCCAGAAAGAAGAGGGAGCUGGGAUCUCUGUGUUACAUCACAGAGUUUGCCAAAAUCUCACAGAUAAAGAAAGGAAUGAUUAAAAGAUUGAGGAUUUUGGAAGAGAUUUCUUUAGGCUUGGCUAAGCUGUAUUUAGUGUCUUUGAAGACCGCUGAUGCAUUUUGCUAAGUGCUUUAGCCUGUGAAUCUGUUUCAAAGGCCAGCUCUGACUGAAUACUCCCACAGUAAGGCACCAAACAUGGGCUGGGACUGUGGCUCGAGUGCAGCAUCAACAACGUUCAGCAGAAACAUCAAAAGCUGCCUCUGUGUUACUGCAUAUAGGUUGAAAAAAAAAAUGCACGGUACUUGAAGUAAGAGGGAUUUUUUAAAAUAUGUUUUUCUGCUUUUUAACUGCACUAUCUGAGCCUUAAGGCAACAAUCUUGUCAACUCAAAUACCACAACAUUAUAACAAAUUAAAUAUUGAACUUUAACCACAUGAAGGGAAUAAUUAGUAGGGAUGCACAUAAGAAAAAAUACAGAACAGAAACAUACAAUGUGGUAACAUCACUUCAAUCGACAGUUUGAGUUUUUGGGAAAUAGCCUUAUUUAUUAUUUAUCCCAUCAUUUUCACUUGUUUCUGCUUAUUGUGAAUUUUGAGCCAGGAAACAAAAUUCAUCAACAUCCCUAAACCUCACAAAACUGGAAAGCGUAUAAAUCACUGUGAGGUUUAGAGGUGUUAGACCGUUUCUUAACUACAAAAACAAACUUGCUGGAGUCCACAUUUAAUAAGCGUAUUUCCCAAAAGAAAAAAGAAAAGUCUGUGUGUUCUCCAUCCAUUUCAUCUAAAGAGGUGAUUUGAGGGCUUGUAGUGCAGCGUGAGCUGGCGUGAGCUGUAGCCGGACAUGCCGAUACCCACGAGACCCAGCAGGAAAGCCAUGCGCGGCGUAGCAGGGCCCUCCCGGCUCUGCACCACAGUCUGGGCUGCCUGGGUCUGAAAGAGAGAGCAGGGGUCACCACCACCACUCAGCAGCUGCGACAACCUCCACCACCGGGCACCGCCAUCAUCGCCAGGGAUGAUCCUCCUGGUGAUCCUCCUGGCUCUGGCUGCGGUUGAAUCAGUGAACAGGUGGCCCUGGUCGCACACCUGCUUCAGCCCAGCAAUCGUCUUACCAUAAGGGAACAGCCGUGCUAGAAUCUCCACUUUUGUGAAUAUUAAGUAUUUGUUCAAGUAUUUGUAUAUACUACAUAUAUAUAUAUAUUUAAAUAUAAUGUUUUUCCUCUACACCCCCCCCCCCCAAUUUUUUUGCACAUGUCGAGGAGCGUGUCAGGCUACAUUUCACUGUGUGUUAUACUUGUAUAACUAUGCAUGUGACAAAUAAAGAACCUUGAACCUUGAACCUUGAAGCACCCCAUACAGCUGAUGCCGGUGUUUCAGUCCUCUGUGGGGGGUUUUGGAGGGGUCUCAAAAUUUAGUGCCAAUCCAACACAUGCCCUAAAGUCAGACACAGAUUCAGUUACUUUCUGAGCUCAACACUGGUGUGCCAGGCACUAUCCAGUGAAAACUAGGAGUCUCCAAAUGUAUUUAUUUUAUUUUAUAAAUGGAGAGAUUGAGCGUUAUAUUAUGAACAGUUUUUUAUUUAAAUCUAUUUUUAGAUGUCUGAAAAAUUGACUUACACAGAGCUAAAAACAUGAAUAUUCUCCAUAUUUAGGAGAUAAAGUUAUAAAUAGUUAGCAAAGGAGUACAGCCUUUUGUUAUAUUGCUCAUAAAAAUGAAGUUCUGUUUACACAAAUCACAAUCCUGUUUUACCGGAGUACGAGUUAAGCUCCUGAACAUAAGCUGGGAUGAACUGAGCCACAGUAAUAAUCAUUUUUAAAACAGACACAAACCAUACUGGAGGUUUCUAAAACCAAUACAGUCCCAUAUACCCUCCAGGGUCGCAUGCCAUGCUUCUAGAGAUCUAAUUAGAGGGCAUUAACCUGACCCCAGGAAGCGAAGGAAUCUCUGACUCAAAUCCAUUUAAGACAGGCUGCUCUAAUCCUCUAUCCUCAAUCCGACCAUGACACACACUAAACCUGGCAUUUUGAGCACAGCGAUGACUUAGUGGAAUCAUUUUCAAAAAGGAUUUGUGGUGGUGGCCAGUGUAAUGCAAUAACAGAAACCUAAUUUUUACCUAUGUUAUGGAAAAUUCUUUGCUCAAAUGGCUGCAAAAAGAAAUAUUACUGAGGUGAAAUUUGUCAUGGUUUCGUUUAAAAUCUACAGCCUUUUGUUUUUCUUUUACUGAAGCACAGUUAAAUUUGUAGGGCCUCGGCUCCAGAGCUCAACAGUUGUUUGUUGUUGGAGACGCUGCCUCCACUGUUUGUGCCACUGCAGAUGUCCCCUAAUGUCUACCCAAAGAAGAAAAUUACCUCAAAGCAUCUUACGUACCUGGAGGUAUCUAAUAUAUCCAGGGGUCAGCCGAGGGAUGCGGAAAAACAUUGUUGUUGUUGUUGUUCUCGCUGAUGCUUCACAGGUGAGACCACAAAACCCCUCUGCGAGUUUCCCUCAGGACGUUCAGCCAGGCAACUGUUUCACUGGUUAUCCCUCUGCUUCUUAGUGUUAUGUGACUCUUUGCCCUCGGUUCUCUUCCCCAGGCCUGAGUGUGGAGGCAACAGCAACUCUCCCCCGUGUCCAAAAACACACACGCAAACACACCUCACCCACUCACUCAGACACACACCUGCACAGUGAUGAUCUCCCCUGAAGGAGUCCAGCCUCUGUAGGUAGUAUAUAAACCCUUGACCUGAUUGCGUAAGCUGGUCACAUGGUUUUGGACGGUGCUUGUGUCUUCAUGCGGUUGUGCAUUUGUGUCACUG